GUGAAGCGUGAAGAUGUAGAGGCCUUCUUUUCUCAACAUGCCAAGGUACUGGUUGUUUGAGAUUUUCAUUAUUCAAAGUAAAUUGGUUCGAAUUAUCUAUUGUGUACAUACUUCAAGGUACAAUAAUUAAAAAAAUAUGAUAUUAUAGUGUUAAAAAAAAAAUAAGAUUUUCAUUUUUGGUCUUUUAUGUUUGUUUUCGGGGUCCGAAAGUUGCUUGGUGGGUUAAGAUAAUAUUAUAGUGUUAAAAAAAAAGGGUUAAAAAAAUAAAAAAAUAAAAAAUAGUAAAAAAAAGCCCUGAUCCUUGAGCAAUGAUCAUCCAUUUGCCUGGAGGCUUUUCUGUUCCUCAAGCCCACCCAUUCCAGAGGAACUUUCAUAUGUUUUGCAUUGGAGUCCGUUAACUUUCUUUUUAUUGAAGACAGCUUCUUCUCCAUGCAAUACUUCACGGUAUAGUAUGUGUAAUAAUAUUCCGUAGCCUUCUGCGAUGAAUGAUCAGUACUGUUUGAAUUGAAACAGGCUCCAUGGCAGGUCAAAAAUAUGGAAAUCUAGCAAGUUGAUUCCUUAGCAACUGAAAAAUAAGUAAAGAUUGUUUAAAUUUAAAAAGAAAUUGAUUGGUAUGAACUUAAAAAUAUUCUACAAUCCUUAUUCUCACGGGCUGACUCAGCUUUCUUUCUAAUCUUGUUUUAUGAAACGAGUAAAAUUAAAAUGAAUGGGCACAUUAUAAAGGAUCUAAAAGUUUAAGUGUUAUAUAUGUAGUAAUUGAUUUACUUGUGCAUAAUACAAGAGGUUAUUUCAAAAAUCUAAUGCUCAAACCUCACUUUCAUUAAGGCUAGUGAGAGAUUUUAUUUAUAUUUGCAUAAAAUUAAUAUCUAUAAUAAUAAUAAUAAUGGAUUUCUAACCAUAAUAAAAUUAGGAGUAAAUUAAAAUAUAAAAAGAACACAUAUUUCAAUACACUAUAAGAUAAAAAUAUAUUACAUUAGAAUUUGUAUUUUUUGUCUUUUAUCUUAUAUCUGAUUUUAAUAUGGUUGAAAUCUCUAAUUAGAACAUUUCUAUAUGUCCACGUUUGUAAAUCUCGACCGUUAAGAAACCAAACA
rnacentral:lncRNA from 1 species